UCUAUUUUCCUUGAAAAUUGGAUACAGAACUUUACGUCGUUCUGCAAUUCCCUUCGGGAACUGGUCAUUCAUGCCUAUUUCCGUCCAGCAAGUCUUUUAAACAUUAUUUUAUCUUUAAAGGAAGCAAAUUUGGCAACGAUUGGGCGUUCAUGCCUCUGUCCGAAGCGGUGUACAUGUUCGAGUUGGAUUUUGUCGAUAGCUUCGUGUGUGAUCUGAAGCGCUGUAAGGAGGAACUCACUAGCUACACAUUCAGGAACUUCUCCUUAUUUCUCUUAGAUUCUUAUUGAAGGUUAUUACUACCACGUGUAGGCCACACAAGCUCACAGUGGAAGCCAUUCUUUGGAGUGAUGGAUCACGCUUCACCAUCUGGCAGUCAGUAGUCUGGGCUUGGCGGAUACAAGGAGAACGCUACCUGCCCGAAUGCGUAAUGCCAACUGUAAUGUUUGGUGGAGGAGGCUGGGGCUGUUUUUCAUGGUUCAGGCUAGGCCCGUUAGUUCCAUUGAAUGGGAAACCUUAACGCUACAGCAUACAAUGACAUUCUAGACGAUUCUGUGCUUCCAACUUUCUGGUAACAGUUUGGGGAAGGCUCUUUCCAGUUUCAGCAUGACAAGGCCCCAUGCACAAAUCAAAGUCCAUACAGAAAUAGUUUGUCAAGAUCGGUGUGAAAGCACUUGACUGGCCUGCACAGAGCCCUGACCUCAACCCCAUCGAACCCCUUUUGAAUGAAUUGGAACAAGGUCUGCAAGCCAGGCCUAAUCGCCCAACAUCAGUGCCCGGCCUCACUAAUGGUAUUGUGGCUGAAUGGAAGCAAGUCACUGCAGCAAUGUUCCAACAUCGAGUGGAAAUCCAUCCCAGAAGACAGGAGGCUGUUAUAGCAACAACAAAAAAGGGGGGGACCAACUCAAUAUUAAUGCCAAUGAAUUUAGAAUGAGAUGUUCAACGAGCACGUGUCCACAUACUUUUGAUUAUGUAGUGUAAUUGAGGGAAUAUGUACAUGUAGGUAGGGGUAAAGUGACUGUGCAUAGAUAAAACAGAAUAGCAGCAGCAUGUGUGAAGGAAUGUGAGUGUGGGUGUUGUCAAUAUGCAUGUGUGUGUGGUUAGAGUCCGGUGAGGGUAUAUCGAGCCUGUGCAAGAGAGUCAGUACAGAAAAUGAUUCUUAAUCAUAAUAAAAUAAGGGGGACAAUGCAAAUAGUCUGGGUAGCAAUUUGAUUAACUGUUCAACAGUCUUAUGGCUUAGGGGUAGAAGCUGUUAAGGAUCGUUUUGGUCCCAGAGUUGCUGAGGACUACCAUGCGGUAGCAGAGAGAACAGUCUAAGACUUGGGUGGCUGGAGUCUUUAACAAUUUGUUGGACAUUCCUCUGACAUGGCCUGGUAUAGAGGUCCCGGAUGGCAGGAAGCUUGGCCCCAGUGAUGUACUGGGCCGUACACACUACCCUCUGUAGCACCUUUGCGGUCAGAUGUUGAGCAGUUGCUCUUGAUGGUGCAGCUGUAGAACUUUUUGAGGACCUGUAGAUGCUCAAAAAGCACCCAACAUAGUGACAUAUGCUGCCACGUCUGGACUCCCAGAGGACCUUCGCUCCACCUUUCAACAGGAGAAACCUUCCAAACGUCCUCUUUUUGUCAGGAUACGCCAUAACCAAAGGCUUAUCCAAACCAUUCAAAUGCUCCUCAUAGAGCAAGUAACCCAACUAUUGUAUUGACCAAUUGAUUAAAUAUAAUUGCAUAUAA